rnacentral:lncRNA from 1 species
UGCACUUCCAGAGUAGAUGCAGCUACACUGGUAGGGGUGAACAUACCAAUUCAACAUGCUUGGUAAGCACAGAUUUCAUGUGCAGGCGCCUGGGCUUGGGUACUCUGUGCUGUGUAGAUGUGACCAAAGAUACAACUGUCGAAGCUACCAAAAGCUUGGCACAAGACACGUUAAACAGGGAAACGGGCAGCACAGCUUGAAUGAGAUGCCUUAGUACUGCAGCAGUAAACCAGUGAGAUGAGCAAGGGAGAUUGGUUUGAAAAAGCCUGCCCUGGCAAGGAGUCUGGUAUCACGGGUUUAGUGGGAUAACCUGGCAUAGAAGGGGUUAAACAUGCAGCUGAGCACCCAAACUUUGUUUGCACAUGAACGGGUGACAGAUUUCACACCAAUGGUUUGCAUGUUUAGUGCUGGCCCAGCACUUUCUCGGUAUUGUCUUUGCCCCCAAGGUCCGGGAAGAGCCUUUCUCCUCUGAGGGUGCCCUGACCUCUUUACUCACCUGCCCUGAUUGCAAGGGAAACACCCUCCUUUUCUUUUCUUUUCUUUUCCUUUUCUGGCCGCAAGUUCUACUCUGCUCAGCAGAUUUAUUGCUGCCAUCUAGUGGUGCUACAAGGACAAGGUCUGCUCGUGACUGCUCCCCCUGUCCCCCAAACACAGUGCGGGGCUGUGAAAAAUGUAUUCCCUCUGUAGAUCUCCACUUCUCAGUGAAUGAAAUGGUCUGUCGUGUCUGGAGGCUGCAGCCCUCAUUUCCCACCUGGUGAAUUAGCCCCCCUGACUUUCAGUGUCUAAGUUAUCUUCACAGAUACCUGUAAGAAACACAGAGGGGCAUUUUUUGUUGUCGGUAUGGAACAAUAAACAGAACUCAAGGUCUUACAUCUUCAUUUCAGCUAGCACACCCAACCACCAUCCAUCUUUGGUCACUGCUUCCUCAUGUUGGAGUCUGGCACAAAAUUACCUCUGCGCUUGGCACCUUUGGAUGAUGGGCGAGUACCACUGCUUCCUCGCUGCCUAAGACUGAUCUCUCAGGAACAGGCUUCAAGCGUGUUGGUGGGCAAGAUGGAGGAAGCUAGUGCUGCGACUUUCCCUGGUGCACCAGUUCUGCUGGUUAGUAGAGAUCGGACUGCCUCCUUCGGGGUGCCUGUCCAGCACCUCUCACUGAAGCCCCCUGUACCGGUGGCCAGAACCCGGGCAGUGUGAUUGCCACUGAAAAAAAUCAGCUCGUGUGCUGCCUUCGGCGCUCAUGCCAUUGGUUGCCUACCCCUGUUCUAGUGGAAGACGGCUCAAGCUUUAAUUCAAGAACGCCACUGCUCAAGCCAAGUUUUAUUUAACCAAAAGCAAUUUGGUUUUGCUCCAGUUCCACUGCUUGGGAAUUGUGCUCAAGACGCAGCCUUCUUUUCAGCCAGAGAGAAUCUUGCUGCUGGGAACUUUUGCUUUGUGACCUGAAAUAGCAACAGCAAGAAGCACCUUUUUUCAGAACUUC